GCGGCCAUAGAACCUUGUGAGCACCGCAUCCCGCCUGAUCUGAAAAGUUACGCAAGGUGUCGCUCAAUUAACACUGGGGUGUGGGACACUGCAGCAAUCCUUAGGUGCUGCUGUGCUU